AUUGAACGCUGGCGGCAUGCUUUACACAUGCAAGUCGAACGGCAGCUCGGGCUUCGGCCUGGCGGCGAGUGGCGAACGGUUGAGUAAUGCAUCGGAACUUGCCCAGUAGUGGGGGAUAGCCCGGCGAAAGCCGGAUUAAUACCGCAUACGACCUUAGGGUGAAAGCGGGGGACCGAAAGGCCUCGCGCUAUUGGAGCGGCCGAUGUCGGUUUAGCUAGUUGGUGGGGUAAAGGCUUACCAAGGCUACGAUCCGUAACUGGUCUGAGAGGACGACCAGCCACACUGGGACUGAGACACGGCACAGACUCCUACGGGAGGCAGCAGUGGGGAAUUUUGGACAAUGGGGGCAACCCUGAUCCAGCCAUGCCGCGUGCGGGAAGAAGGACUUAUGGUUGUAAACCGCUUUUGUUCGGGAAGAAAUCCUCUGGGCUAAUACCCCGGGGGGAUGACGGUACCGGAAGAAUAAGCACCGGCUAACUACGUG
rnacentral:rRNA from 1 species